GGUUUCCGUAGGUGAACCUGCGGAAGGAUCAUUACCGAGUGCGGGAACCCAGUCGGGUCCCAAUCUCCCACCCGUGUCUACCACACCUAGUGUUGCUUUGGCGGGCCCACUCCUCCGGUGUUCCGCCGGGGGGGUCGUCCCGGGGCGCGGUGUGCCCCCGGGGCCCGUGCCCGCCAGAGGCACUCACUGUGAACGCUUUUGUGAAUGCGAGGAUUGUCUGAGUGACGAAAUGCAAUCGUUCAAAACUUUCAACAAUGGAUCUCUUGGUUCCGGCAUCGAUGAAGAACGCAGCGAAAUGCGAUAAGUAAUGUGAAUUGCAGAAUUCCGUGAAUCAUCGAAUCUUUGAACGCACAUUGCGCCCUCUGGUAUUCCGGGGGGCAUGCCUGUCCGAGCGUCAUUGCGAACCCUCAAGCACGGCUUGUGUGUUGGGCCGCCGUCCCCUCGUUUGGAGGGGACGGGCCUGAAAGGCAGCGGCGGCGUCGCGUCCGGUCCUCGAGCGUAUGGGGCUCUGUCACGCGCUCAAGGAGGGGUCCGGCCGGGGCCAUAGCCUCUGAAGGUCAAUUCUUCCAAGGUUGACCUCGGAUCAGGUAGGAGUACCCGCUGAACUUAAGCAUAUCAAUAAGC
rnacentral:rRNA from 1 species